rnacentral:rRNA from 1 species
GAUGAACGCUGGCGGCGUGCCUAAUACAUGCAGGUCGAGCGAACGGACGAGAAGCUUGCUUCUCUGAUGUUAGCGGCGGACGGGUGAGUAACACGUGGAUAACCUACCUAUAAGACUGGGAUAACUUCGGGAAACCGGAGCUAAUACCGGAUAAUAUUUUGAACCGCAUGGUUCAAAAGUGAAAGACGGUCUUGCUGUCACUUAUAGAUGGAUCCGCGCUGCAUUAGCUAGUUGGUAAGGUAACGGCUUACCAAGGCAACGAUGCAUAGCCGACCUGAGAGGGUGAUCGGCCACACUGGAACUGAGACACGGUCCAGACUCCUACGGGAGGCAGCAGUAGGGAAUCUUCCGCAAUGGGCGAAAGCCUGACGGAGCAACGCCGCGUGAGUGAUGAAGGUCUUCGGAUCUUAAAACUCUGUUAUUAGGGAAGAACAUAUGUGUAAGUAACUGUGCACAUCUUGACGGUACCUAAUCAGAAAGCCACGGCUAACUACGUG